AGUCGCUGCUUGAGACCGUCAGUUCUUCCCCGUGUCGCUCCGCUCCUGUUUGAAUGUCCAGAAGGUUUAUCUGGGCGCCGCGGCUUGAACUCGCGCUCGGUAGCAGUCUUGCCAGCAGCAAGGGCAGCAGACAGGCGAACUGCGGCAAUAAGCUGGAGCGGGAGGUGCUGACGCUGGUCCACCGAGUGCCCUGAUAGGAAGGUCGACAGCUAGCGGAGCGAACCUCUUCCCGCCG